UACGUAGGGGGCAAGCGUUGUCCGGAAUCAUUGGGCGUAAAGAGCGCGUAGGCGGUCCGGUAAGUCGGUUGUGAAAACUGGGGGCUCAACCCUCAGACGCCGACCGAUACUGUCGGGCUAGAGUCCGGAAGAGGCGAGUGGAAUUCCUGGUGUAGCGGUGAAAUGCGCAGAUAUCAGGAGGAACACCAAUGGCGAAGGCAGCUCGCUGGGACGGUACUGACGCUGAGGCGCGAAAGCGUGGGGAGCAAACAGG
rnacentral:rRNA from 1 species